ensembl:rRNA Gm23279 predicted gene, 23279
GUCUGUAGCUGUUCCACCCUGAAAAUGGAAGAUAAGCAGGGUCAGGCCUGGUUUGAAGUUGGAUGGAGUAUUGGAUGUUAUAGACA